CGAACUGCGGACUGGUGGAAGGUUUUGCUCUUUGCACACUGGGUGUCCUGCCAUUGAGGGCAAUGCCUGAACUGUUGCGAGCGACCUUGUCAGAGCAGGAGGUGGUGAUGGGAACCUCUAGUGCUCUCCUGCCUCUGCAAAGAUGGGAUGGGUGACACUGAUGAGUUCCGUGGAGUAGUUGAACUCGACUGAUGGGGAAGAGAGGGUGACUUAAGCCUUGGGAAAUGGACCUCUUGUUCCACUGAAAUGCCUGGACAUACGCAAGAAGUACACAGAUCUAAAGACAAGUUGGCUCAGAUUCGGAUGCUUGAAAGAAUGCUGUAGAGUUUGGAUGAUUCCUCUAGACGAACAUCUCCUGAAGGUUGCAGGGUUCAAGGAAUCUGGAUGCUGUCUUGUAGCUGGUAUGAACUACAAGGUGCUCACGAGAGCAGCUGAGAUAUCAAAUGUCUUCAAGUUGAAAUAACUGGAGCUUAUUGUUGUUGUACUAAUAAAUAUAUAAUUUGC